rnacentral:rRNA from 1 species
AUUGAACGCUGGCGGAAUGCUUUACACAUGCAAGUCGAACGGCAGCACGGGGGCAGCCCUGGUGGCGCGUGGCGAACGGGUGAGUAAUACAUCGGAACGUGCCCGGUCGUGGGGGAUAACGUAGCGAAAGUUACGCUAAUACCGCAUACGAUCUGAGGAUGAAAGCGGGGGACCUUCGGGCCUCGCGCGAUCGGAGCGGCCGAUGUCGGAUUAGGUAGUUGGUGGGGUAAAGGCCUACCAAGCCGACGAUCGGUAGCUGGUCUGAGAGGACGACCAGCCACACUGGGACUGAGACACGGCCCAGACUCCUACGGGAGGCAGCAGUGGGGAAUUUUGGACAAUGGGCGCAAGCCUGAUCCAGCCAUUCCGCGUGCAGGACGAAGGCCUUCGGGUUGUAAACUGCUUUUGUACGGAACGAAAAGGCUCUGGCUAAUACCUGGGGCUCAUGACGGUACCGUAAGAAUAAGCACCGGCUAACUACGUG